GGGCUUGGCCGGUGGUACGCCAGAGGCUGCCCAUAGCAGGAAACCCCCGCAGAGGCCAGGGCCUCUUGUUCCACUUGGCAGAGACCCCAGAGAGAGCCAGGGGGCAGCAUCAGAGCCUGGGGCCCUGGCAGGGGUGCCCAAGGGCACGGCAGCUGCAGGUAUUGACAAGGCCAGAAGACGGCCCUCUGUGCAUGCCAUGCUUAAUAAGGUAAUAAAAAGGUAAGAUUAUAAAGAAGGAAGAGGCCUAUCAAGGAAAGAAGGCUCUUUAUUUGCUUUGCUGUCAUGGUAUCCUUCCCAUUCCACUGGCUUCCAGCACAUAUGUGGAAACUUUUUGGGAAAGUUCCCCAAAACUUUGGGGAACUGUGUUCCCCUGAAGUUUGGAGGGUGAGGAGUGAAAGAGGUUGAGAAGAAUGAGCUGGCUGGAAUUCCAGUGGGAGUAACACCCAGAUCCUCUGUAUGUAAAAAGGAAUUGAAGAAAGGAUUGGAGGUCUUAAAGGGUAAUACAAAUGGAUUCAGAAUUCUAAAACACUAGCAACA
rnacentral:lncRNA from 1 species